GUACUGUUAUUAAGGUGGGAAAUGAUGUGAAAUUCAUCAGCUGUGCUCGCAACGGUAAAUUAGUUAAAGUCCGAAGGCCACUCAGUAU
ncrna:unclassified sequences AdoCbl variant RNA